AUAAUUAAAAUACAAUAUUAAUUAAUGAUAACGUUGAAUAAUAAAACAAAUCUUAUCCCUACUGUUUCACCGGCUUACACGUGUCACUAAAUCUUUUUGAUUCAUUUUGAAGAAAACAAUGAAUGUAUCUCUUACUUAAACUAAAUUAAAAC
rnacentral:sRNA from 1 species